rnacentral:rRNA from 1 species
AACGAACGCUGGCGGCAGGCUUAACACAUGCAAGUCGAGCGCCCCGCAAGGGGAGCGGCAGACGGGUGAGUAACGCGUGGGAAUUUACCCAGCUCUACGGAAUAACCCAGGGAAACUUGGACUAAUACCGUAUACGUCCUUCGGGAGAAAGAUUUAUCGGAGUUGGAUGAGCCCGCGUUGGAUUAGCUAGUUGGUGGGGUAAUGGCCUACCAAGGCGACGAUCCAUAGCUGGUCUGAGAGGAUGAUCAGCCACACUGGGACUGAGACACGGCCCAGACUCCUACGGGAGGCAGCAGUGGGGAAUAUUGGACAAUGGGCGCAAGCCUGAUCCAGCCAUGCCGCGUGAGUGAUGAAGGCCUUAGGGUUGUAAAGCUCUUUUGCCGGGGACGAUAAUGACGGUACCCGAAGAAUAAGCCCCGGCUAACUUCGUGCCAGCCGCCGCAGUAACAC